rnacentral:rRNA from 1 species
UACAGAGGUGGCAAGCGUUGUUCGGAUUUAUUGGGCGUAAAGGGUUCGUAGGCGGACCGGAAAGUCAGAUGUGAAAUCCCACAGCUCAACUGUGGAACUGCAUUUGAAACUUCCGGACUAGAGUGUGAGAGGGGUAAAGGGAAUUCCCGGUGUAAGGGUGAAAUCUGCAGAGAUCGGGAGGAACACCAGUCGCGAAGGCGCUUUACUGGCUCACUACUGACGCUCAGGAACGAAAGCUAGGGUAGCAAAC